rnacentral:lncRNA from 1 species
CACCGUUCUAACAUUAGCGCUAAAUGAGCAGUGUGGUUAUACUACCAGCCCUUAAUUGCUAUAAGUGUAACAAACCAGUUCGAUUUGUCAUUCAGCUGUUGUCGACAGGAAACCACUAACAGCAGUCAACUGACAACGCCAAGAAAAAUUAGGGUUUCUCUUUCAACGUGUUCUAAGGAUUAAAACUUAUCAAGGCGAGCUGAUGUUCUUAAGUACGCAUCCUGCAAGGGAUUUUUUAACUCUGGUGGACAACUAGGAUCGACUGGGAUAUGAUUUAAUCUGAACAAAAGAAUCACCAGGAUGGGGUUGCUCGGGAGCAAAAAUCAGCUGACAUCCAAUGAGAAACACACUUCUGGAAGCAACCCAAAAACCAAGAGUAAAACUCCUCCCGCCCCACCCAAGAUAACUUGGUUGUGAUUGCACUGUACGAUUUUCCUGCCGCAAGUGACCGCGAUCUGCAGCUGGUCAAGGGGGAGAAACUCCAAGUUCUCUCCAAG